rnacentral:lncRNA from 1 species
GCCAAUGCAGCAAUACAUCACAACACCACAAAGAGUCCAUGCCGCGAGCCAAUACGUGACGAAGGAUGAUAUGAUCAAUGUGAUUAAUCAACUUCACAGGCAGACAUCCUGACCUUCAGAGUUAGACUUUACUCCACCUUACCCAGCACACAUUCGGAGGCAACCUUACCCGACAGGGUAUAUUGAGCAUCCCCCGCAAUUUCCAAAAUACAACGGAGAGAAAGGAAAUGCCAGGG